CCUUUGCUGGAGGUGAAUAAAUAAUGUGGCUGGAAAGGAAUAGGUUCUCCUCAGCUAUGUGUUUAUUAUGGUCAGGCUGUCAGGCUUGUGUAAUCAAAAGAAUAAUGUCCAGCUCCUAGGAGGCACAGCGGCUAAGCAUCUUCAAACACUUUUGGCAGAUGACUGAUGAUUCCCCUUCCUAUCACCUCCCCAGGUCACCAGCUGAGCCUGGCCUUGGCAGGGAUGGUAGGCACUUCCACUGUUGUAUCUUCAAAGCCCUGACGUGUGUGUGUGUGUGUGUGUGUGUGUGUGUGUGUGUAUGUGUGUGUGCAUGCACGUGUGCUGGGGCACACUGUAUUUCUAUCUCUGCCCUGCCCUCCAAACCAGUAAAGGAAGAUGGCUGGUUUUGUCAAAGGAAACGCACAGAAUAAAGACAGACAUUCAUACCCACAGAUGUGGCCGUGAGGUCUUCAGAAGUUAGGGUCGUCAGUGGAAUUUGGUGUGAAGAUGCCAAGGCUGUUGCUGUUUAUUCUGGCAGAAGAGGCCUUUCCCAGAAGUGCUUUUUGCCUUUCAUCCAACAGGACGAUGUUCAGAUGGAAGUUCUCCAAGAGUGACCACAAACAGGUUUUUCUGGGUUUGUGCAAGGAAAGUCCCUGCAUCCCAGGAAAGUCCUAAAUCCUUGACCAGCUGGGCCUUCUGGUCACUUGCCCCAUGUCCAAUUAUUGAGGGCUCAAAGUCAGCGUUUGAUCUGUACAGAAGCCACAUCAGGAUCCAUCCUUCAGUCCCAGCAAAGAGCUCUACAUGUUUAAGUAAGCACAGGACAAGCAGAGUGUCGUCAUUUAUGCUGCCUCCUUCAUUGCCUGACCAGGAGUUGGGUCUUGUCAGGAGACACAGAGCUGCCUGAUCUACCAUAGUGCAGAUCUGAGCUCUGAGUGGUUGGAGGCCCAGGUGGUAAUGGAUAGAUGCAGAGGAGGUGGUGCAGGAGGAGACAUAACAUCCUAACUGCUGAACUUGUGUGCAGUGGUGAGCUGGCAAAUGCUCAUUAGUUGACUCCCUGGGGCAGGUAGUAGAGUGAAGCCCUGGAUUGAAGCCCUGCAUCUGCCAAUUUCUUUGGUGUAAACACUUCCAUGGAUGAUUUUCAGCCUGCAAUGUGAUUCUACUGAGUGCUGCAUCAGAUGGAGGCUACAACUGAUUCCCAAAUCAAGGCAAGCUGAAUGCUUGUACCCAGUGUGUAACUGACUAUGCCCACUGAAUGACACAGCCAACUCUCUGCAAAGCAUCCAAGAUGGAAGAUUGUAGGGUGUUACAGUGAGGUUUAGAGAUUUGGAUAUUUCCUGAAUGCUGUUCAUUGGUACCAUAAGCUCACUUCCUCUGACAUCGUCAGCAUUCAGGUGAGCAGUCCCAAGAAAUAGCAGCUGUAAGUGAUGGGGGUCAGGUAUGAGGAAAUGAACAGAUGUAAUUGUGAGUGAUUUGGGAUGUCUUCUGAAGCAAGCUAAAGUUGCAUUGAGUCUAUUUUUUGGGUACAAAUAAUAGAGAAGGAGGGAAACUAAAUGAUACUCACUGAAAAACAAAAUGGAAAAGGAGAGCAAUUGUUGUUCUUCACCACUAGAAAACAUUAUUUAUGUGGAUAUAACCCAGAAUCAAUUAUUAAAUGUCCCUUAUAGAUAAAGUAUAACUUGUAGUCAACUGCAAAGAGGGUUAUUUGUUUCACUUAAUGAUAAAUCAAGUGGUGUUUGACCAAUUUGAUAAAGACAAUAAGUCAAACUUAAAUGGCUUGGCAGUUGGUGUUGCUCAAACUACAAAUCUUAUUAAGGAGCCUUUUAUAUUUAAAAUAUGCAAAAUGCAAACAAAAUUUAGUAAUGAAAGUAAAACUAAAUAUUUAAUGACAUAAUUAAGUCUUAUUAAUGGUAUGUUCUUUAUUUUGCAGAUUAAAUAUUCACAACAAUUAUCAUCUCUUUCAUCUUUAUUACUUAAGUGAUACGUUUUUCAUAAUUAUUUGUUAGGUAUUUUCAUUAACAUUUGAUGAAUAUUAAUAGUUAAAAUAAAAAGACAGUUUUUA